rnacentral:rRNA from 1 species
CAUGCAAGUCGAACGAUGAAGCCCAGCUUGCUGGGUGGAUUAGUGGCGAACGGGUGAGUAACACGUGAGCAACCUGCCCCUGACUCUGGGAUAAGCGCUGGAAACGGCGUCUAAUACUGGAUAUGUCCCGUCACCGCAUGGUGUGCGGGUGGAAAGAUUUUUCGGUUGGGGAUGGGCUCGCGGCCUAUCAGCUUGUUGGUGAGGUAAUGGCUCACCAAGGCGUCGACGGGUAGCCGGCCUGAGAGGGUGACCGGCCACACUGGGACUGAGACACGGCCCAGACUCCUACGGGAGGCAGCAGUGGGGAAUAUUGCACAAUGGGCGGAAGCCUGAUGCAGCAACGCCGCGUGAGGGAUGACGGCCUUCGGGUUGUAAACCUCUUUUAGCAGGGAAGAAGCGAGAGUGACGGUACCUGCAGAAAAAGCACCGGCUAACUACGUGCCAGCAGCCGCGGUAAUACGUAGGGUGCAAGCGUUAUCCGGAAUUAUUGGGCGUAAAGAGCUCGUAGGCGGUCUGUCGCGUCUGCUGUGAAAUCCCGAGGCUCAACCUCGGGCUUGCAGUGGGUACGGGCAGACUAGAGUGCGGUAGGGGAGAUUGGAAUUCCUGGUGUAGCGGUGGAAUGCGCAGAUAUCAGGAGGAACACCGAUGGCGAAGGCAGAUCUCUGGGCCGUAACUGACGCUGAGGAGCGAAAGGGUGGGGAGCAAACAGGCUUAGAUACCCUGGUAGUCCACCCCGUAAACGUUGGGAACUAGUUGUGGGGUCCUUUCCACGGAUUCCGUGACGCAGCUAACGCAUUAAGUUCCCCGCCUGGGGAGUACGGCCGCAAGGCUAAAACUCA